rnacentral:rRNA from 1 species
GCUGGAAUCGCUAGUAAUCGCGGAUCAGAAUGCCGCGGUGAAUACGUUCCCGGGUCUUGUACACACCGCCCGUCACACCAUGGGAGUCGGAAAUGCCCGAAGUCUGUGACCUAACCGAGAGGGAGGAGCAGCCGAAGGCAGGUCUGAUGACUGGGGUGAAGUCGUAACAAGGUAUC